rnacentral:rRNA from 1 species
GGUUUAAAGGGUCCGUAGGCGGUUUAGUAAGUCAGUGGUGAAAGCCCAUCGCUCAACGGUGGAACGGCCAUUGAUACUGCUAAACUUGAAUUAUUAGGAAGUAACUAGAAUAUGUAGUGUAGCGGUGAAAUGCUUAGAGAUUACAUGGAAUACCAAUUGCGAAGGCAGGUUACUACUAAUGGAUUGACGCUGAUGGACGAAAGCGUGGGUAGCGAACAGGAUUAGAUACCCUGGUAGUCCACGCCGUAAACGAUGGAUACUAGCUGUUGGAAGCAAUUUCAGUGGCUAAGCGAAAGUGAUAAGUAUCCCACCUGGGGAGUACGUUCGCAAGAAUGAAACUCAAAGGAAUUGACGGGGGCCCGCACAAGCGGUGGAGCAUGUGGUUUAAUUCGAUGAUACGCGAGGAACCUUACCAAGGCUUAAAUGUAGAUUGACCGGUUUGGAAACAGACUUUUCGCAAGACAAUUUACAAGGUGCUGCAUGGUUGUCGUCAGCUCGUGCCGUGAGGUGUCAGGUUAAGUCCUAUAACGAGCGCAACCCCUGUUGUUAGUUGCCAGCGAGUCAUGUCGGGAACUCUAACGAGACUGCCAGUGCAAACUGAGAGGAAGGUGGGGAUGACGUCAAAUCAUCACGGCCCUUACGCCUUGGGCUACACACGUGCUACAAUGGCCGGUACAGAGAGCAGCCACUGGGUGACCAGGAGCGAAUCUAUAAAACCGGUCACAGUUCGGAUCGGAGUCUGCAACUCG